UGAUCUGUAAUUGUGGAGAGACACCUUAGGAAGGUUAACUUAUUAUAAGCACACACAGAGCUACGCUCACUUUCCAGGGACUACGAAGUCUGAUCCACUGUUGCCUGCAUAGCAUCUAAAUUAGAAAGUCUGGAGUUACCUUGGAUUUAUCCAAGGCCACAUGAAAGCUGGCCCAAGAACAGGAACCACCAAAAGA